GAUGAACGCUGGCGGCGUGCCUAAUACAUGCAAGUCGAGCGAACAGACGAGGAGCUUGCUCCUUCGACGUUAGCGGCGGACGGGUGAGUAACACGUAGGUAACCUGCCUAUAAGACUGGGAUAACUUCGGGAAACCGGAGCUAAUACCGGAUAAUAUUUCGAACCGCAUGGUUCGAUAGUGAAAGAUGGCUUUGCUAUCACUUAUAGAUGGACCUGCGCCGUAUUAGCUAGUUGGUAAGGUAACGGCUUACCAAGGCAACGAUACGUAGCCGACCUGAGAGGGUGAUCGGCCACACUGGAACUGAGACACGGUCCAGACUCCUACGGGAGGCAGCAGUAGGGAAUCUUCCGCAAUGGGCGAAAGCCUGACGGAGCAACGCCGCGUGAGUGAUGAAGGUCUUCGGAUCGUAAAACUCUGUUAUAAGGGAAGAACAAACGUGUAAGUAACUGUGCACGUCUUGACGGUACCUAAUCAGAAAGCCACGGCUAACUACGUG
rnacentral:rRNA from 1 species